CAUUAACAAACUUUAAGUAAAUUUAAACUCUUAACAAUAAAAACGCAAAAGCUAUGUAACAGAGGUUAUCCCGUAAAAUCAAAACUAUAAAUAAAUCAUUAAAAGUAACCGUUACACACUCAUGCAGGUAAGAAAGCAAGAACCCCAAUCAACACGCGCUAAAGUUGCACAUCUGUAAUUUAUCAUGAGAAAAUAAGUUCACGCACAUAAACAGUCACAUAAUGCGCACUGGUAAGAUACAGUGAGCACGGGCACUGAUCAAGCUUCAGCAACAUCUUUAAAAGUCAAAGGAGCAGCACAUGUGUUAGCAUGAAGUAGCCAACAUACCUUGAUGAAACGAAGUAGUAGCAAAAAAAACUCUGCUGGAGAGAGGAAUUCAAGCUGCAAACACGUCCCCUGGAAACUAGUGGCUCUGGGUUGAUGGGGUUUUGUUUCCUCCGACUGCAACAAGGAAGGAGCAACUAAAGCAAAUGUGCCAGCUAGGUAGCUAGCGUAAUUGGUCCGCCAUAUUGGAGAGGUGCGUUCGAUUCAGAGUGGCUACGCGCAAGUGGGCGGAGCUAAUUUCUGCUGGAGACGAGAGAGAAGAUCAAAGCCUGAGCUGGAACCGGCGCUAAUGGUGCGUGGCUGUCAUCGCGAGCCUGAGUGGCUGAGGCCUCCAGCCAAAGACAAACAGCCAUUUUGGGGUCUACGUGGACACAGUUGCAGCUCCGCUCUCCGGGUUUCGCGUUAAACCCGCUGUUCUGCGUCUGAACCACUGGACUGUUGGCAGACGCAGGUGGAGCAGCUAAGUCAGAAACAGCAGGAAUUCCCGUUUGGGGGCGGGUAAUAACGGAAGCGGCUCCGUCCAGUGCAGCCGCGUUUACGUCAAUGGAGCAGAGCGUCGGUGCUGCUGGUUGUGGAUGUGUUCACAGCCUUCGCCGUCGCCUGCAGCCGUCACGGCUAAAAGCCCCCGAGGCUGCAGCCUGGACACCAGGAGGGGCCUCAGAGAGGUCCGAAGGAGGCGCCGCAGCUGUUUACUGUCCUGUAAUGUCCACACCUGGACAUGGGUCAGCGUGAACGCGGGUCAUUUACAACCUGCCGCCGCGUGUCCACGCGGACCUGCAGGCGUGGAGAUGGGGGAAAAAGCCGCCAUCUUGUCCACUCACCUGCUGCUGGGACUGUUUUGUGUUGAUUACUUGAUUUUGCCAUGAACCCGUUGUGUUUGGCUGCAUUUCUGGUCCGAGGCACAGAACUGUAAGGCGUCUGCUACCGUAGCAGGACGGACCGGAGGAAGAUGAAACCUGCAGAACCAACGUGACGCUUCUAAAUGUUUUUAUUGCCUGUGAAAUUAGCUUAGCGUGUUUGUGUAACCUGAAGGAGGCGCACACGGAGGAAACCUUGCUCCUUCAACAAGCAGCUGAAUCCCUGCUCUCUGCUGCUGCCGUGUUCCUGCGCUCUGAUCCUCUCGAUUUCAUUCAUCUUUAUCGUCCCUGCGGGAAAUUCUCUUUGUAGCCAGAUGCAUAAAAGCAUAUAACACAAAUACACAAGGCUCCCGAGUCAUAAAUCCGUGUCUCCAGCAUCCGUAAAGGCGCGUUACAAUAAAAGCAAG
ensembl:lncRNA